rnacentral:rRNA from 1 species
GGAGGAAUAUUGGUCAAUGGGCGCAAGCCUGAACCAGCCAUCCCGCGUGCAGGAAGACGGCGCUAUGCGUUGUAAACUGCUUUUCCAGGGGGAGAAACUUCCGUACGUGUACGGAAUUGACGGUACCCUGGGAAUAAGCAUCGGCUAACUCCGUGCCAGCAGCCGCGGUAAUACGGAGGAUGCAAGCGUUAUCCGGAUUCAUUGGGUUUAAAGGGUGCGUAGGCGGACUAUUAAGUCAGUGGUGAAAUCCUGCAGCUUAACUGCAGAACUGCCAUUGAUACUGAUGGUCUUGAGCUUGGUUAAGGUAGGCGGAAUGUGUAAUGUAGAGGUGAAAUGCUUAGAUAUUACACAGAACACCAAUUGCGUAGCAGCUUACUGAGCCGACACUGACGCUGAGCA